UCAAGAAGUGCUUCCGUUCCAGGACCAGUUUCGGACCAUUCUAAGCCCCAGGAUUUUUCCUUCGGACAAAGAGGAAUCAAAGUUCGAUUCACAACUUCCACACGAACUGACAUUGACCUUAAGGCAACGUUACAGAGUCGCACUCAUUGGAACAACUUUAACGUCCGAUUCAUCUUUGAUUUCAAUGUAAAUACUUUUGCAUUGCUGCAUUCCCCAAUCGACAACUUGACACGUAUAUUUUCCUUCGUCGAGGAGCGUCGCCUUGUCUAUUGUCAAUAAAGAUGUGUGCAAAUCCGAUCCAUCAUUCGACUGAAACAAGGUUUGCCAUGGAUUAAGAAAAUCAGAAAAGAAUCAAGAAAGUUUAUCAAAAUUACUGAAAAAAAGUAUAUUCUAGAAUUGAUCAAAAAAUAAAUAUACAAAAGAAAUAAAAAUAUCAAUUUCAAUUCUAACGAAGUGAAAAUAAAAAGAAAAAAUAAUGUUGAUAAAAUAGAAAAGAAGAAGAAAAAUGUGUUCAGUACUAAAUUGAAGAGAAAAUAUUAGUUUUCUGAGAAAAUAAUAAAAAGAAGAAAAAAAAAAUAGAUAUUCUUUUUCUUUUUA